UUCUUUCUUUCUGCCUCCUCUUGGUGUUGCAGGAAUUAAAGCAAUAAGCGAGGAAGAUGUACGCUCCGAUGGGGUUACAGGAGAUGUCUUACUUGGAGCACGUCCACAGGCGCCACCAUGAGAAAGGCUUCCUCUAUGCCUGUUUGUUUGCGUUGUGUUGCUGCUUCUGCUGCUUUGAGACCUGUGAGUGCUGCCUCGACUGCCUCUGCUGCUGCUGCUGCAACUAGGAAUUAAUCAAUCAAUGUCAGGGAACAGCAGCUGAUGGAAAAAUGAAUGCAAUCCAUUAUAUAUGGCAUUUAAUCCACAAUAAAACUUAUGGGCUCACUAUGUUUGUUGCGUUGUGUGCAACAGUAAAAUUUAGGUUUGAUAAACCUGAAGAAUUUAAUGAUAAAAAAAGAGAGAAAGAAGAAUUAGCAAGGAAAAUUUGCCUCGACUGCUUUGAAACCCCAAUACGAAUGAAAUAACUAGGAAGGGAACCUUGACAGGAAAGGGAUAAUUAUCUUACUCCUUCAGGGUAAUUUUAUUCUUCCAGUAUUCAAUGUGUUGGGACAACAAUUCUUUUUUGUGAUUAAAUUAAUUAUGAAUUAAAUUAGAUAUAUUUUUGAUGAUUUUUA